rnacentral:lncRNA from 1 species
GGGCCAUCGACACUGCCGUCUCGUCGACAUUAUUCCAUCCCCUUAAUUUCUUUCUCUUCUUCUCCAUCAUUCUCUCUCUACUUGAGCUAUGAAUCUAGUGAAGCAUCUUGAGCCCUAUUGCUUUGAAUCUAAGUUGACCUUAGUAGAUAGAUUGAACCACCCAAUUAGUUGGUUAACAUGUCUGCACCAUCUAGGUCUGUGUCAGAUAUUGCAAGAUCUAGUCUUUGUUGGUCUCUAACAAAUCUUUAUA